UACGGAGGAUCCGAGCGUUAUCCGGAUUUAUUGGGUUUAAAGGGUGCGUAGGCGGCCUAUUAAGUCAGGGGUGAAAUACGGUGGCUCAACCAUCGCAGUGCCUUUGAUACUGAUGGGCUUGAAUCCAUUUGAAGUGGGCGGAAUAAGACAAGUAGCGGUGAAAUGCAUAGAUAUGUCUUAGAACUCCGAUUGCGAAGGCAGCUCACUAAGCUGGUAUUGACGCUGAUGCACGAAAGCGUGGGGAUCAAACAGG
rnacentral:rRNA from 1 species